rnacentral:lncRNA from 1 species
AUAGAUUCUGCUCUUUUUAACCUCUCUGAGCUGUGGCUUACUCGUGUGUAAAAUAUGGUUAAUAGACCUAUGCCAGAGUGUUGUUGAGAGAAUAGAAUCAGAUGAAGUAAUGUAUGAAGCUGCCUAGCAAGACCAUUUGGGGACCUCAAUCUUAUUUCUUUCCUUUGCAGGUGUAUAAAUAAAGCUCAGUUUUGCUGAGGUCAUCCAUGAUUUCUGGGCAUUUCUUUUCUGCUGAACCUUGAAGAGUAACAAAGCCUUCUUUCUCUUUGAUUCUAGGUCUACUCUGUAGGUUCCCAUUCAUUCCUCAUGCAUAGCAGCAGAAGGGACACUGACAAGCACAUCAGAGAGGGAAUUGCUUGAAAUAGAUUCUGGGCGGGAAGACCCAGUAUUUUUUUUCUGCAAAUUGUCCAGAUUCAAGAUACUGAAGAGUCAAGAAGGAAAAAGGCACUCAGGAAGGAAAAACCUUCAAAGAGGAGGAGAUAUUUCAGUGGGCUUUUGACAGGUAAGACCAAUUUUGACAAUCAUAAAAAGAGGAAGGGCAUGGAGACAACAUUCUGCAGAGGGAUAUGGUAAGAAAGAGUGUAUUGGGGAAA